rnacentral:rRNA from 1 species
GAGAGGCCCAAACAUUAUUCGGAAUUACUGGGCUUAAAGAGUUCGUAGGCGGCGUGGAAAGUAGGGUGUGAAAGCCCUCGGCUCAACCGAGGAAUUGCGCUCUAAACUGCCGUGCUAGAGGAAGCUAGAGGUGAGCGGAACUGAUGGUGGAGCGGUGAAAUGCGUUGAUAUCAUCAGGAACACCGGAGGCGAAGGCGGCUCACUGGGGCUUUUCUGACGCUGAGGAACGAAAGCCAGGGUAGCGAACGGGAUUAGAUACCCCGGUAGUCCUGGCCGUAAACGAUGAGCACUAGGCCGGAGGGCUGCACAGCUUUUCGGCCGUARMUAAAGUGUUAAGUGCUCCGCCUGGGGAGUAUGGUC